CCCCUUUGGCGCCAUGCUAAUUUGUACUGAAAUUUUUCUUUUGAAAAAAAAAAAAAUGCUUACUUAGUUCAAGUGGAAGAUCGUAAAAAUUAUUGCAAAAAUGAUAGGAAAAUGAAUUCAUGUGGAAGUUCACUUAAAAUCGGAAUUUACAUUACAAAUUCAUUCAAUUGAUAAAAUUUGGAAUCUAUUGUUCAAAUUUCAUGUGAGAUUUCAUAUUUUGUCAUCUUACUAUAAUUUACAACUUACAACCUCUCUUAACUAAACUAUGUAUGGAUUUGCAAAUGAAUAUCAUAACAUUUGCAGACUUGUUCCAAGCAUAACCUAAAAUUAUAAGGUAAUAGAGCGACAAAGAAAGCCCUGAUUCUUGGUUUCGUUUUUGUUUGGCAAAGUGCCCUUUCUUAUGGGUUAUUUUGUGUUUUCAUUAAUUGUAUGUUCCUUUCCAUUUUGUUUGAAUAAUAUUUCACAUUGAGAUAAAGGAAAACAACAUUUAGAGGUGAAGAUGCUAAAGAUUGGAGUGAAAAUUUUUGGGAACUUGUUAUUUAAAUGGAUUGCUUCUUGUGGGUGAUGCAUUGUUUGCCAAGAUAACUUGACAAGAAAUUUUUCUCAGAGGAGUUCCAUAAGUAUUUUCAUGUGAAUUGUCAGGAUGAACAUCUUCCAUACUACAGAAGAAAGGGAAUAUUUUCUUCAGCUUUAUACAAGGAUAAAAUCUACUCAACACAACCUGAGAGUUCCCUGAUUAAAGAACAUGGUGGAGAGAUUUACUGUUAUACAAGCCUUGUACAUGGAUACAUACCAGAAGAAUUGCUCCACAAGGGUUGUUGAUAUUUUCUUUUUGUUACAUGAUGAUAGUAGGAAAUUUAUCCUGUGCAGGAAAUUGAUUUUACUGCCAUAUUUUUUGUUUUAGAUACAUAUUUUUAUUCUUAGGAUUCAGGUAUACAUUUACUGUGGUGAGAAUUAGUGAAUACAUUGAUGAAGCAGAAUAUUCUUUGAACAUUCUUCAGUAAGUCCUGUUAAAUAAUCUUAAGAUUUCAUUGCAUAUUGUAGUGAUUUGGCAUAAUGUCAAUAAACAGCUAUCUAUGAGCAGUCUAA